rnacentral:rRNA from 1 species
AACGAACGCUGGCGGCAUGCCUAACACAUGCAAGUCGAACGAGACCUUCGGGUCUAGUGGCGCACGGGUGCGUAACGCGUGGGAACCUGCCCUUAGGUUCGGAAUAACUCCCCGAAAGGGGUGCUAAUACCGGAUAAUGUCUUCGGACCAAAGAUUUAUCGCCUUUGGAUGGGCCCGCGUUGGAUUAGCUAGUUGGUAGGGUAAAAGCCUACCAAGGCGACGAUCCAUAGCUGGUCUGAGAGGAUGAUCAGCCACACUGGGACUAAGACACGGCCCAGACUCCUACGGGAGGGAGCAGUGGGGAAUAUUGGACAACGGGCGAAAGCCUGAUCCAGCAAUGCCGCGUGAGUGAUGAAGGCCUUAGGGUUGUAAAGCUCUUUUACCCGGGAUGAUAAUGACAGUACCGGGAGAAUAAGCUCCGGCUAACUCCGUG